rnacentral:rRNA from 1 species
AGUGAACGCUGGCGGCGUGCCUAAUACAUGCAAGUCGAACGAAGUGGCGCACGGAUGAGUAAUAUAUAGUUAAUCUGCCCUACACAGAGGAACACCAGUUGGAAACGACUGCUAAUACAUCAUAGUGUAGGAUGAGACUAUAUCGUAUCAGCUAGUUGGUAAGGUAAUGGCUUACAAAGGCUAUGACGCGUAACUGGUCUGAGAGGAUGAUCAGUCACAUUGGACCCGAGACACGGUCCAGACUCAUACUGGAGGCAGCAGUAAGGAAUAUUGCGCAAGGGGGGCACCCCUGACGCAGAAACGCCGGGGUCGGGAUGACGGCCUUCGGGGUGGAAGCCGCUUUCAGCCAUGACGCGGUAGUGGCAGAAGAAGCACCGGCUAACUCCGUGCCAGCAGCCGCGGUAAUAC